rnacentral:rRNA from 1 species
GAUGAACGCUGGCGGCGUGCCUAAUACAUGCAAGUCGAGCGAACGGACGAGAAGCUUGCUUCUCUGAUGUUAGCGGCGGACGGGUGAGUAACACGUGGAUAACCUACCUAUAAGACUGGGAUAACUUCGGGAAACCGUAGCUAAUACCGGAUAAUAUUUUGAACCGCAUGGUUCAAAAGUGAAAGACGGUCUUGCUGUCACUUAUAGAUGGAUCCGCGCUGCAUUAGCUAGUUGGUAAGGCAACGGCUUACCAAGGCAACGAUGCAUAGCCGACCUGAGAGGUUGAUCGGCCACACUGGAACUGAGACACGGUCCAGACUCCUACGGGAGGCAGCAGUAGGGAAUCUUCCGCAAUGGGCGAAAGCCUGACGGAGCAACGCCGCGUGAGUUAUGAAGGUCUUCGGAUCGUAAAACUCUGUUAUUAGGGAAGAACAUAUGUGUAAGUAACUGUGCACAUCUUGACGGUACCUAAUCAGAAAGCCACGGCUAACUACGUG